rnacentral:rRNA from 1 species
CAGUCGCCGCGGUAAUACGAAGGGUGCAAGCGUUACUCGGAAUUACUGGGCGUAAAGCGUGCGUAGGUGGUGGUUAAAGUCCGUUGUGAAAGCCCUGGGCUCAACCUGGGAAUUGCAGUGGAUACUGGGUCACUAGAGUGUGGUAGAGGAUAGUGGAAUUUCCGGUGUAGCAGUGAAAUGCGUAGAGAUCGGAAGGAACAUCUGUGGCGAAGGCGACUAUCUGGGCCAACACUGACACUGAGGCACGAAAGCGUGGGGAGCAAACAGGAUUAGAUACCCCAGUAGUCCCUGUCUCUUAUAC